rnacentral:rRNA from 1 species
AAAUUGAAGAGUUUGAUCAUGGCUCAGAUUGAACGCUGGCGGCAGGCCUAACACAUGCAAGUCGAGCGGAAACGACACUAACAAUCCUUCGGGUGCGUUAUUGGGCGUCGAGCGGCGGACGGGUGAGUAAUGCCUAGGAAAUUGCCUUGAUGUGGGGGAUAACCAUUGGAAACGAUGGCUAAUACCGCAUAAUGCGUACGGGCCAAAGAGGGGGAUCUUCGGACCUCUCGCGUCAAGAUAUGCCUAGGUGGGAUUAGCUAGUUGGUGAGGUAAUGGCUCACCAAGGCGACGAUCUCUAGCUGGUCUGAGAGGAUGAUCAGCCACACUGGAACUGAGACACGGUCCAGACUCCUACGGGAGGCAGCAGUGGGGAAUAUUGCACAAUGGGCGAAAGCCUGAUGCAGCCAUGCCGCGUGUAUGAAGAAGGCCUUCGGGUUGUAAAGUACUUUCAGUUGUGAGGAAGGGGGUAACGUUAAUAGCGUUAUCUCUUGACGUUAGCAACAGAAGAAGCACCGGCUAACUCCGUGCCAGCAGCCGCGGUAAUACGGAGGGUGCGAGCGUUAAUCGGAAUUACUGGGCGU